UCCUACGGGAGGCAGCAGUGGGGAAUUUUCCGCAAUGGGCGAAAGCCUGACGGAGCAAUACCGCGUGAGGGAAGACUGCCUAUGGGUUGUAAACCUCUUUUUUCAGGGAGGAAUAAAAUGACGUGUACCUGAAGAAUAAGCAUCGGCUAACUCCGUGCCAGCAGCCGCGGUAAGACGGAGGAUGCAAGUGUUAUCCGGAAUCACUGGGCGUAAAGCGUCUGUAGGUGGUUUAAUAAGUCAACUGUUAAAUCUUGAGGCUCAACUUCAAAAUCGCAGUCGAAACUAUUAGACUAGAGUAUAGUAGAGGUAAAGGGAAUUUCCAGUGGAGCGGUGAAAUGCGUAGAUAUUGGAAAGAACACCGAUGGCGAAAGCACUUUACUGGGCUAUUACUAACACUCAGAGACGAAAGCUAGGGUAGCAAAUGGGAUUAGAUACCCCAGUAGUCCUAGCCGUAAACUAUGGAUACUAGAUGUUGAACAGAUCGACCUGUGCAGUAUCAAAGCUAACGCGUUAAGUAUCCCGCCUGGGAAGUAUGCUCGCAAGAGUGAAACUCAAAUGAAUUGACGGA
rnacentral:rRNA from 1 species